AUAGACCAUAUAUAUAUAUCUUCCUUGUUAAUUUCUUGGUAAUUAUAAGUUCCGGUGUUAAUUUAGAUACUAAUCAUUUUCAUAUUUAUAUCCGGUGACAUGGGCACACUAAUACAAAAAAUGUUUCGUUAUAGACAUAUAGACUGAAAGGAUGUUGUUUGGAGCGCGUUUUGCAAGUUGCUUGGUAGGAUUCUUCUUGUUAGUCGCACUGCCGUAUAUUCAUAUAGGUAAGAGAGAAAGACCCUUCAAAUAGUUUCAAUAUCGAUACCAAAUAAGCCUAGUAUCGAGUCAUUAUCGAAAGAGUAGUGUCAAUUCUAGUCUAUAAAGUUGUGAAAGAAUUAAACUAACGCCUUUUAAGCGAGUUUUUAUCAACUUCAACUUUUUGCAGAUAAUAAAACAUUUUAAAUAAUGAUUAUCAAAAAGCCUCGGUCACACCUUACCGGAUAGCUCGAACGGACGCCUAACGGAUAACUUUUUUUCAAUCCGUUCAUAUCAUUUAGACGUCCGUUCUUAUCCGUUAGACGUCCGUCCAUGUCCGUUGCAUGUCCGUUAAGCGUAAGUUUUAUCCGUCGACGUCCGUUCUGUCCGGUGGAAAAUUUUGAACAUGUUCAAAACUUUGAACGGACGUCCAACGGAUAAAAUGUCCGUUGAAUGUCCGUUAGGCGUCCGUUUUGUACGGUACUCGUCCGUUUCGUUUCCGUUUUGUAUCCGUUACGUGUCCGUUAUACAUCCGUUGGAGGUCUGGAAGAUAAAUUCACCAACGGACUUCUACCGGACAUUUAACGGAUAAAACGGAUGUUGAACGGAUGAGAAACGGGCUUCUACCGGACGUAUAACGGAUAAAACGGAUGAUGAACGAUCUGAAACGGAUAAAUGCAAAUUGAAAAUUUAGAAAUGCCAAUUAUUGGUAUGUCAGAUUUCUUAAGGUUCAUGAAUUCUUAUUAUUCAUAAUCGAUCUUAGAGUAUAGGCACGCCUUCACAAUUAAGCAGUUCUUAUUCAGGCCAGAAACUGCCCUUUGACGGAAUUUUUGAAGAACAAACCAAAACCAGUUACACAGAAACAUUUUGAAUAUUUAUUCGAUUUACAUGUAUUAUUAUUGUCGCCUUUGAUUUUUCCGUAUAUCUUGUUCAUCCGUUUUAUCCGGUACGCUUCCGUUAGGUGUCCGUUUUAUGCGGUACUUCGUCCGUUGGAUGUACGUUCCACAUCCGUUCUGUCCGGUACGUGUCCGUUUCUCGUACGUUGCAUAUCCGGUGUGUGUCCGUUAUGCAUCCGUUAAACGUCCGUUUUAUUCGGUCAGUACAUCAACGGACUCCCAACAGAUAACAAUUUUGUCAACGGACAACUUUUAUUUUCAUCCGUUAGGCGUCCGUUCGUGCUAUCCGGUAAGGUGUGACCGAGGCUUUAACCACCUGUCUGAGAACUUAUUGGAUAUAAAAAGUGUUUGGGUAUGAGUGACAAUUAGACAACUUUCUAUCUAAGUCACAAUUUGUAAAAGUAAACCAUUAUAUGUCAAAGUACGGUAUUGACUAGUGUAAAACCAUUCAAAUGGGAAAACCAACUGACUAAUCUAUUAUAAAAAAAAGUAACGAAAAACCGACAAACGACAACUACUAACAUCUGAUACCUGAAUUAGGAGCAAACAAAAGCAAAUAUGUAUUAGAUCCAUAUAACAUAUGAACUAAUAGCGUUGGUAAAACAAUCUAGUAUUUGUGAUAUAUAUAUAUAUAUAUAUAUAUAUAUAUAUAUAUAUAUAUAUAUAUAUAUAUAUAUAUAUAUAUAUAUAUAUAUAUAUAUAUAUAUAUAUAUAUAUACAUGUCUAUUCGUUGACAUCUUGAACGGAACUCACAAAAAUGUCGAAGAUAAACAGACAGUUAUCUAUACAUUUUUUCACCAAGAGACUCAAAGGGAUAUCCCAUGAUGAUGUAUUGUCAGAAAUAGGUAAAGUAAUUGAUAUUGAGGAUGUUUUAUCAAUUCAAAUCACUGAAAAAGACUGCAUAGUAACCCUAAAAAACCCUGAAACUAAAGACAGGCUAGCUGCUCAAGGCAUCGCACUAAGAGACAGAUCUAUUAAAUUUUAUGAAGUAGAGAGUUUAAUUACUCAUGUAACGAUAAAAGACGCACCUUACGAACUAGAAAACUUAUAUAUUUGUACUCAGAUGUUUAGAUUUGGUAAGGUGGUUCCAGGUUCUAUAAAACGAGGCGUCAUCAAAGGCACAAACAUCGAAAAUGGGUCUCGGUAUAUUGAUAUUCUGGAAUGUGAUUCAGUGCUUCCGAAUAGAACAUCUUUUGGUCGUUUUGAAGUAAGACUUUUUGCUGAUAACAAUCGCACUCCAUGUAUUUAUUGUCAUAUCACAGGUCAUCCUUCAUACAGAUGUAAGGACAAACCAAGUCUCAUGAAUCAAAAGAGAUGUUACAAUUGUUGUGGUAUAGGUCACGUAGCUAACGCCUGUACAAGUGAAGGAUACUGCUCUUACUGUAACGUAAAUGGUCACGCCAGACGAGACUGUGAACAGUACAAACAGGAAACAGAAAAAAAGGAAUUGGGCAGUUAUGGUCCUGAAAUAUUAGAGGGAAGACAAGACAAUACAAAAAACAUUCACACUGACGAAGACGACAAAGAAUCCAUCUCAUCAGACAACACGAAUUGUGAACGAGAGACAGUGUCUGUUCUCCUUGGAGCAUCUAAUUGCAUUAGGCUCGGACAUAUCGACGAUUCGGUAGUAAACGCUUCAAUAUCUGGAGGAUCCUUCGACAAAAUUGAACAAAACAUUGAUCUAGCUUUUCAAAAAACUGAAAACAAAGAUAUUGAAAAGGUUGUUAUCUGUCUAGGCACAAACGACAUAAGUAGAAAUAAAAGUGACUCUGAUCAAAUAAACCUUCUUGUAACAAGCGCUGUCAAUCGUGUAAAGUCUAGCUUUCCAGAAGCACAGAUAGGUCUUUGCAAUAUCAUACCGCGUAAAGGCAACGGCGCUCAGUUUCAGAAAAUAAAUGAAACAACCAAAAGUGUAAAUAGUUUCAUGAAAAAACUUUGUGUUCGAGAACAAUCUGUAGCAUUUGUUGAUAUAAAUGAUCAAUUUUAUAAACACGGAGCUGUAAUCAGAACAUUGUUUGAUAAAAAUGACAGUAGCGGGGUACACGUCAGCACAGAAGGCGCACAAAGAAUUAACAGUAAACUUUGUGAGUUUCUAAAUAGCCCAAAUACAAACUUCACCGUAUCAAACACUCCGAUUGAUCGAAAACGCAACAGAAGUGACAAAACUACUCCAACAUCUGCAGACCGGACAUCCAAAGUAUCAAGAAAAGAGACAGGAAUAGAUCAUGAUUAAACCCAUGUGAUAAAACACUCAGACUAUUAAAUCUGAUUUUAAUGUUAAAAAACAAACAAACAAAAACAAACAAACAAACAAAAAAACACAAAUGUAUCACUGUAAAUAUUAUGUUCACUUUUUUAAACAUAGUUUUCGUAUGUAUAAUUUAUUUAGAAAUAAUUCGUUUAUAUGCCUAUAUGUAUAUACUGCAAAAAGUGCAAACAUUGCUAAGCUAUACCAAACUGUAAUGUUAUAUAUGGAGAAGAUGAAUAAGUAACUGUUUAUUAGACCUUUUACGGUUUUAAAACGACAUGUGGAAAACAUGAAUAAGUAUCUGUUUAUAACACCUUAUACGGUAUUUAAAGUUUUACCUGAUUUGUUUACACAAAGGUAUACACAUAAACGAUCCGUUAAGUUUAUUUUACCGAAUAGACAUAAUCAGGUUCAAAGCAUUCAAGUGAAACAUUUAAAUGACGAAGGAAAGAAAAAAAAACCCAAACUAUUCGAACUUAAUAUGUCUUUGUCAAUUGCUUCUAUAAACGUAAAUGGUUUACGAAACAAUAAAAAAACGAGAUAUGAUUUUUAAUUGGUUAGUUUUAAAAAAGUUUGAUAUUAUUUGUCUUCAAGAAACACAUUGUUCAAAAUCUGAUAUUGAUAACUGGGGUAAUGAUUGGAAAAAAUUUGGGGGAGGUGAAUCAGUUUGGAAUUGCGGAACUUCUGAUUCAAGGGGGGUGGGAUUCCUUUUGCAAAAGAAUUUUUCCGAGAAUGUAACUUUUAUUAAUCACGAUGAAAACGGAAGAUGUCAAAUGUGUGACAUAAAAAAAGAUAAUGCUGUAUAUCAUAUUAUUAAUGUAUAUACACCAAACAACGGUUCCGAUAGAAAGACUUUUUACGAAAAUUUGCGUAACUUAAAUAAAGUGUAUGACGAUGAUAGCGUUGAACACUACACCGUACAUUAUUAGGAGACUUUAAUUGUACUUUAGACAAAAAAAAUAGACAGAAUGCCAUCACAUCAAAAUAAUGACGUCGGUACAAUUGAAUUAAAAAAUCUUUUAUUGAGAUAUGAAUUAGAUGAUGUAUGGAGAUCUCGAUUUCCAGAUACAAAACGUUAUACGUUUCAAAGAGGAAACUCGAAGUCUCGUAUUGAUUUUAUUUUCUGCAGCAAAUCUUUGAAUAGUAAAAUAUUUAACACUCGUAUAUCUCAUUUCCCAUUUAGUGAUCACGAAAUAGUUACAUCAAAAAUUAAGCUAGAUGAUAUAGAAAGAGGGCCGGGUAUGUGGAUUAUGAAUUUAAAUACAAUUAAAUCUGAACAGUUUUCAAAUGCUUUUAAAAUCUUUUGGGAAGGAUGGAAAAAUAGUAAAGACAAAUAUAAUGAUAUACAAGAAUGGUGGGAUAUUACUAAAAGUAAAAUAAAAUUUCUAACAAUUGAUGUUAGUAAAACACUAAAUCGAGUAUAUAAUAACAAUCACAUUAAAAAACUUGAAAAACGACUUGAAGCAUUAAAAUUAGUAGAGGAAAAAACAAGUAUCACCAAUUCUAGAAUAACCGAAAUUGAAAGCGAAAUUAAGGAUAUUUAUACAAAUUUAACAGAAUCUGCGAAAAUUAGGGCAAAAAUUAAAUGGUCAGAAGAAGGUGAAAAAUCUACGAAAUAUUUUUUUAGUUUAGAAAAGAAAAAUGGUCAAAACAAGUUAUGGAAUCGUAUAAAAACAAAAACGGGUGAGUAUAAAUAUGAUAUUGAUUCGAUAUUAAAAGAACAAGUACAAUUUUAUUCCACACUUUUUACUGCUGAAGGGUGGGACAAACAUAGCGGUGAAAAGCUUUGCCAAUUUAUUGAAAAUAAGGUAAGUUCGGACGAUAAGGAGAUGCUUGAUAGUAAUAUAAAUAUGGAAGAAUUAGAAAAAGUGCUCAAAGAUCUCAAGACUAACAAAUCGCCAGGUGAGGAUGGCAUUAUAUCUGAAUUUUACAUUUUGUAUUGGGAUAUAAUAAAAAAUGAUUUUUUCACACUCCUUCAAGAAAUAUUUGAUAAAAAUGCCUUAAGUAAAUCACAACAUAAAGGGGUUCUUACGUUAUUACAUAAGGGUGGUGAAAGAGAAAAUAUUAAAAAUUGGAGACCUCUUACAUUACUUAACACCGAUUAUAAAAUCAUAGCAAAACUUCUUGCAAUGAGACUGAAAAAAGUCUUACCGAAAAUAAUACAUCCAGAUCAAAAAGGAUUUGUUAAAGGAAGAAACAUUAGUGAUGCUAACAGAUUAAUUCAAGAUAUAAUAGACUAUAUUGACAACGAAGACGAAGAUGGAAUAAUAAUAUUUCUUGAUCAACAAAAAGCCUUUGAUAGAGUUGAAUGGGAAUGGGUGGAUUUUGUAUUAGAAAAGUUUAAUUUUGGGGGGAAAUUUAGACAAUGGAUCAAAAUGUUACUCUAUGAUGCUAUUACUUGUAUAAAAACAAAUGGACAUGUUUCAAAAUAUUUUUCGAUAACACGGUCGGCCAGACAGGGCUGUCCAAUAGCACCCCUUAUAUAUAUUUUGCAAGCAGAACCAAUGGCAUGUGCAAUACGAGGUAACAAGGAAAUUGAAGGGAUUCAAAUACCUGGUGAGGGGGUAAAAGUAUAGAAACUAAAUUAUGCAUGUUUGCUGAUGACACUCAGCUUUUUAACAAAAAUGAGAAAUCAGUAGAAAAAUCUUUUGAUGUCCUAACGCUAUAUGAAAAAGCUUCGGGAUCUAAAAUUAAUUUUGAUAAAACCAAAGGUUUACUUAUAGGAUCUCUUAAAAGGAAAAAACUAAAAUUUAAUAAAAUUAAAUGGAUUACAGGUAAUGUAAAAACCCUAGGAGUAAAUCACGGAUAUGAAAUUGAUAAUGAUGCUAUAUGGCAAAGUAUAAUAGAAAAGAUUAAAAACUGUGUCCACGUUUGGAAAAGCAGGAAACUUUCAUUUAGUGGUAAAACCUUAAUAGUAAAAAAUUUCAUAUUGCCCAUGUGUAGUUAUGAAAUUGAAAUGCGGGGUAUUCUUGAAAAAUAUUCAAAAGAAAUAAACAGUAUCAUUUGGAAUUUUAUAUGGGAUGGGAAAGUUAACCAAAUAGAAAGACAGGUUUGUUGUCUUGAUAUAACAAAGGGCGGAAUGGGCAUGAUUAGUAUCGACUUAUUCAUUAGAAGUAAGCAAAUAAAGUCUCUUUAUCGUAUUCUUCACGAACCAUUAGAAAGCUGGAAUGCGAUUGGCAAGUAUUGGCUUCGACAAUUUGACAACAAGUAUAAUGAUCAGUAUUUUUUAUGUAAAUGUUCAAAUAUUAAAGGACUAAAUCUUAAAAAUAUUCCUGUAUUUUAUCAGAAAAUGAUUUAUACAUGGUCUAAUUUUCUAAAAAUGGGAGAUAAUCCAAAAACUAAGAACGAGGUACUUAAUAUGAGACUAUUUGGUAAUUCAAAAAUUUCAUUUCAAAAUAAACCAUUGUUUUUUUCUUCCUUUCUAAAAAGUAACAUAAAAUAUAUCAAAGACAUAUGGAACGAAGAAACCAAAACAUUUUACAGUUGUUGUUCUAUAUUUGAAAAACUUGUAGAUAAAAGAAACUGUAUAUCGGAAUUUUCAAGAGUUAAAAGUUCAAUACCAAUUGACUUCUUACAAAUUUUAAAAAUUGAUAAUGAAAUUAAUGAAAAAACAAACAUAGAAUUGAAACUUUCUAAUGAAAUGGUUAUAUUAGACAGAAAUGGAAAAAAAUCAAACCUAAAGAAUUAAAACUCAAAUAUAUUCGAGACAUGAUUAAUAAGAAUAUUUAUCUUACCUCCUAUACAUUUCUAGGAAUAUGAUUGGUUAAAAGCGUCCGCGUGCAAACCGUGUAUAUUCAAUAUUAGGUUAGUAGGGGGGCGGGGCUUAUUCCAUACACGGUUAGUAGUGGAGUUACGUCCCUUUGUAUAGUAAAGAUGGCGUCGACGAGAGGUUCGAAACGUUUCGCAAGCACAACAAAUGAAGAAAUUGAUGCAAAAAGAUUGAAUGUGAAUGCGGAAAAUACCUGAAAGCAAACAGAAAGUGUGCUAAUAUACUCGGACUAUCUUCAGGAGAAAGAACAAGAUGAUGACUUUGAAAAAUUUGAUUGUGUCCGACUGAAUGAGACUCUGUGUCAUUUUUAUGUCGACCUACGGAAAGGGGAUGGUGAACGAUACAAAGCAUCGUCACUGGAGUCCAUCAGGCAUGGCAUUAACAGAUACCUUAAGGCUCCUCCGCACAGUAAAACGUUUGAUAUUGUGAAGGAUUCUCCAUUUAAUGACAGUAACGCAAACUUUAAAGCCGUCUUGGCAGAAUCGAAACGUUUUGGACUAGGUGACGUUGAACAUUUCCCCGUUAUUAAUGAAGUUGAUCGUGAAACACUGUAUACAUCUAUGUAUCUUUCACCUACAACACCAACUGGCCUGGCAAAUAAAGUUCAGUUUGACAUCAGACUUUAUUUUUGCAGAAGAGGAAUUGAAAAUAUGCACAGUAUGACCAAAUGUACCUUCACAAUUAAAACUGACAUUAAAACAGGAUUGAAAUAUGUUACUAAGGCAAAAGAUGAACUUACAAAAACCAUAGGGAAUCAGAUAAGGAGCUUGUCUCUGGAGUAAUGCCAGAAUCACCAGGUGAGUGUAUGACAAUAAAGGAGGGGGGGGGUGUUAUUAGACAAUUGAAAGGAUGAGAAAAAAAAGAUAAUUAGAACAUUACACCAUACUAAUUGUGUAUAAAAAAUAUAUGAUAAAAUUGAGAAUGGAAAUGGGGAAUGUGUCAAAGAGAUAACAACCGACCAAAUAAAAAACAACAGCAUUACUAACUUUAUAUCAAAUAUACAACAUUGGCGAUUGCCACACAGACAUGAAUGACAAUCAAUGAUAUUCCUGAAAAUAUAAAAACUUAAAACAACAAGUACAUUGUAGUAACUAUAAAUAGUUAUGAAAGGUAGCAAUAUCAUUAUCUAAUUAUAGACUAAGACAGGAAUCCUGUAAUUUAUUGUUGUGUUGUUUAUUGCUGUAAGUAAAAUGCAUAUCAUACAUGUAUUUCUCAUUUGAAUAAAUUUACAUGUGUCAUUUCGGAACCUUCUACAUGCUUGAUAUAUCAAUGUAAAUACAAGAAAUACAUAUACCCAUUGUUGAAGGCUGUACGGUGACCUGUCACUUAUAGUUAAACGUUGUUAAUGUCUGUGUCAUUUUGGUCUCUUGUGGACAGUUGUCUCAUUGGCAAUCAUACCACAUCUUCUUUUUUAUAUAUAGUAUCUACGUCUUUGUUGUUGAUGUUAAACCUGAAAAUAUCUAAAUGAUUACUCUAUAUUUCAGGAUCUGUGUAUUGUCCUGUUGCCUCAUACGAGAACUAUAUUCGUAGAUUACAUCCAUCAAAUGAUCGUUUAUGGCAGAAACCAUUGGAUAGUUUUUCCACAGAAGGCUGAUGUCUGGUAUUGUAAUAUGCCACUAGGAGAAAAAAAACUAAGUACAUUUAUGUCAGAACUCAGUAAGAAGUGUAAGUUGUCUAUUGUUUAUACCAAUCACUCAAUACGAGCAACUGGAGCCACAGUUUUAUCACAAAACAUGUAUGGAUCUGCGCAAAUAAUGGCAGUCACUGGCACAAGUCCGUACAGUCACUCACAACGUACCAGCGUGUUGAUACUAACGAGAAAAUUAAAAUGGGUAAAACUAUAUCUGACAAUCUUGUGCAAAGAGCAGUUAUUGCUUCCAACCAUACAUGCAAUAGAUCCAAAAGUGAUGAUAGUGGGUCAUUUAUGGAACAAAUACAAGAUAUUGACAUUGGAGAUAUUUUAGGAGACUUUGAUGACAACGGGCCGAAACCCAUCCAAUACAGACAAACAACCACAUGCAUGCAGUCGACAAAACCUCAGAGUCAGAUCUUCUAUGGCAAUGUAACUGUUAUACACAACCUUACCAUCAACAAGUAGUUGUGAGGAAAUUAUCACACUUGUCAUGUUGACAUCAACAUUUAUUUUUCAAUUUGUACACAAAAAAUGUGUUGCAUGUUGACUUCGACACUAUUUGUCGCCUAAAUGUAUUGAACAUUUUGUUUUAAUUAAUAUUGUUAUAUCAAGGUUAUUGCUAUUAAAUUGUUAAUGUUGACAUUUGUUUUUCUCUUUCAAUAAGACCAAUGAAAGUAGAUUCUUAAAGUUGUAGAUUUGAACACUUUGAUAUAAAGACCUGGUAUGAUUGUAAAUGAGACAACUCUAGUCGAGAUUCAACAAAUAAAGAUAGUCGGUAAGAUAAAUUCGUUACAUAGUGUGCUAGUAACCUAAUACGAUAUAUACGGGGUAAGUAAAUUCCAUAUGGGGUUCGAGCUUCGCUCUCACCCCAUAUGGAAUUUACUAACCCCGUAUAUAUCGUAUUAGGUCACUAACACACUAUGUAACUAAUAAUAUCCAAAAUGUCAACUAAAAUGGCAAGAAUUUUAUGGCCACGAAAUUAAUUGGAAAAUAGUAUGGGGCAAUUUGAAAAAAGUUAAUGUCACCAAUAAAAUGAAAGAAUUUCAAUGGAAAUGCAUACACAAUAUCAUAUAUACAGAAAGUAGUCUUAAAAAAAUGCAAUUGUCAAACGGAAAAUGUCAUAUUUGCCAAACUGCUAAUAAUACUGAAAAUCUGCAACAUUUAUUUUUCGAUUGCAAUACAACAAAAUUAAUCAUAAUUAGUAAAAUCAAAGAUAUUUUUACAUUAUGGAAUGUUCAAUUAGAUGAUGAAAAUUUAAAACAUUUUAUGCUUUUGGGAGAUAGCAGUGGUCAAUCGAACCAAACUUUACAUGUAAAUCUCUUUUUUAUUUUGACAAAAUGGUCCUUGUGGAAAAUAAGAAACAAAAUCAAAUAUGAUGGGAUAAAAAUGUCCUCUACAUAUAUUUUGAAUCUUUGGAAAUCAUACAUGAUAACACAUCUGAAAUCUGUACCCUGUUACUUAUCGAAUAAUACAUUAGACAAAGAGAAAAUAAACACAUUAAUUAAUUUUAUACUAUAAGUACAUACCUCGCAGGAGAUAACAGUCACGAUGUUAUGUGGUCUGUUUUUUUAUAUCUCUUUAAUUUAUAUUGAUUACGGCAAUCCAUGGUUUAAAGAUGCACUCGAUUAUGUUAUAAUGUUAUGUGAAUCUGGUUUAUAGGUGCACUCCUUUAUGUUAUAAUGUUAUAUUAUUUAUAACUAGUAUUACAUACUAGAAAGAUAUUUCUUUUUUCACUCAUUGUCAUAUAAAAGAAUAUAAGUAUUAUUACAUGUAUACUAUUUUUUUCUGAUAAUACAGUGCACUUUUUCAGCCUUCUGCUUCCCGGACAGUUGGUUUAAAUGUAAACGGGAAUCCACAGUUUGCAUCCUGGGCAACUGAGGAAAUUGUAAACAGGAAAUAUUUGGAAUAAACAAGUAUCAAUUAAAAAAAAAAAAAAAAAAAUAGCGUUGGUACCCACACACAUGUGUGUAAGACGCCCAUCGAAAACCAUGAACCAAAAUUGGUAUUUCUUAAUGAAAUAAUUUGAAAAGCAAGAUUUUUAUGGUUUCUGUCAUUCGGCGUUUUUUUUUUUAGGGAAGGGGUUGUCGAAAUCGAAAAAUAAGGCGAUGAGGUAUGAUUGCUUAUGAAACAACUACUCAUCAUGAAGUUCAAAUGAAGUGGAUGUACGGUUUUCAAGCAAUAACAGUUUCCACUUUGGUUUAUUUAAAGGGGCACUAGCUACGAGAUAUAUAAAAACAUCUAAUAUAAAAUUUUUUUGGCUCAAUCAGUAAUGAAAUACAAAUAGUGAAAUAAUAAUUCCUUUUUAGUAGCCAAUAGGGUUCAAUUUUGUCAAAAUAAGCAAAAAAAACAUUGAUUAUGAAUUAUUCACUUCCAAGUGAAUAAUUCGACCUCAUUGAAUCCGUAUUCAUGUGAACUUUAAUUUAACCCCUUAGCUUGAGAUGGAUAACACGUGAAUUCUAUGUGUAAAGUUAUUUAAUGGAAGAGAAUGUUAACAUUGAAAGUGAAACAAAGGUCAAUCAUUUACAAACAAAGGUAAAUCAUUUGAUUGACCGAUUCGAUCCACAAAUAAACAUUCUAAUACAGGUAAAAAACGAUGAUACACAUUGAUUUUUUAUCUGUAAUAUGAAAUUAAAUAGACCAGAAUAAUUCAACAGCACGUGUUUGCUUAAUUAUCGAAUGACUAUAGAGGUCAACUCGAUAAAUAAUUAGAUGGCGUCUAGACUCAAAUACACACGAAACGAAACUACGUAUUUUCAUGACUGUACCUUGUUUAUUGUUUUAUUCAGACUUUUAAUAGUUUAGAUAAAUGUUUUACAUUGUUAUAAAUCAAAUAUGAGAAUUUGAUUUGAAUCGGUGAACAUGAAUUUGACAGCUAGUGCCCCUUUAAUCAAAAAUGAAAAACGAAUAUUGCAAGAAAAAAAGUGUGCCCCCUAAUUCCUAUAGUAAUGCAAACCGCCAAAAUAUUGCACGUACCGUCAUUCAAUUAAUAAAAAAAAUAUAUAAACAGAAUCAAAAGUAUAAUUUGAAUCAUUUUUCUUUUACAUAAAAUUUUGCGUUUUAGAUCUUACAUUCAAUUUAAAUUGUUUCUGUAAAUCGUUGGACGUAUACUAUUUAGUUUGCUUUAUGACACAUAUCAAAGUAGAGGAAGAGUUUAUUGGUAGUUUCUUUUGUUUUGUUUGAAAUUUUUGUUUAAACCCCAGUCCCACUAGACCAUGAUCGCACCACGCUCACCGCGAUCUUUAAUAAAUUCAGAUCGUAGUGAGGUCGCGGUAUGAGCGGCAUGAAAUGUAAAUGUUCGUUGCUUUCACGAUGCUUCUGCGACCUCAUUACGCUUAUCAAAAUCUUUCUACGCUCAUCACGUUCUCACUGCGACCAUACCACGAGUUAUCCGAGUGCAACACGAUCUUACCACUCUUCUACUGCGAUUAUACUACGUUCAUACCGCGGUCUUACUACGCUCUCAGCAAUAACGUCAACAUCGUGUUCCAUAUCAAUGUAGUUCCAUUCCUUCUAUUUCUGUUUAAUACGUAGAUUUCUCGAAAACAAUAGUCAUGCCACCAAAAUCUACUAGAACACGUGGGCGUGGUGGUAGGGGUUGAUGUAGAGAAAGAGGGUCCUCUGAUAGAAACGAAUCCUGAUCAAGUAGAGAUGUCGGAUCGACUAAUCCAACCUAAAUUACAACCUAUUGCUGGUCCAUAAAGCUGAAAUGACGAUAUUUUAGUGAACGAUAGCAGAGAUGACACACAUGUGUCAAUAGAUAUAGUUAGAUAUGGUGUGAUAGCCAAUGAAACAACUCUCCAUCCAGGUAACAAUUUUUAAAAGUAAACCAUUUUAGGCCAAGGUACGGCCUUCAAUACGAAGCUUUGUCUCACAUCGAACAGAAAGCUACAAAGGGCCCCCAAAAUUACUAGUGUGAAACCAUUCAAACGGGAAACCAAACAGUCUAAUCUAUAUGAAAAUGAGAAGCAUGGUUGAGCCGUUAGAGAAAAUAGACAAGAAGUCCCAAUUACAUACAGACAAACAAAACCUGGUGAGAUUUAAUAUAUUUUAUGUGAAAAUGACAAUGAGAAUGAUGGUUGUAGUAUAAACGUAGUCAGGUCGUACGAAGUGCGUGAUGAGCACGGCAAGGGCGUGUUAGAAUCGUACUAUGGUCGUGAACAGCGUGGUAUAGUCGUAGACGAAGCGUAGUUGGAUCGCGGCGAGAACGUUAUAGUCGUAGUGAGGUCGUAAUAACGUCGCUGUGAGAUCGUACCGCAGUUUCUCCGAAUAGAAUCACGCUUUCUCUACGCUCUCGCUACGAUGUAACAGCGACCUUUGCGAUCUUACUACGAUCUUAGUGCGCUCUUACUACGCUUCUACUACGACCUGAUUUCGCCACGACCGCACCACGAUUGUUUUGGACAUGUUCAAAGUUGGCCACGCUCAUCGCGAUCUUGAAGACCUCACCACGACCGUGAUACGACCUUACUGCGAUCUACACGAUCGUAUUACGAUCAUCAAAAUUUGCAUUUUUUUCACAGAUCGUAGUGCGAUCGUGGCCUAGUGGGACUGCGGUAUUAAAAAUGUUGUUUUUAUUUAGGAAUCAUUAAUGCAAAAAUGUGGGUUCCAAACAAGACACCUGUCUCCUAUAAUAACUGUACUUGUAGUUGCUGGGACACAGUUUUUAAAGGUUUGUAAUAUUGUUUACAGUAGUGACAUUUCAACUAGACCGCUGGUGGUGUAUUGAAUGAUAUCUUAGUUAAGGAGUUAUGGUUUAUUUGUAAGUUAGAAAUGGGACCAUAAUUAGUUACUGCGAGUACUCUCCUAUCGGUAAUUUGUGUCUUUUGUAAAACAAAUAAAUCUUAAUGGUGUGUAGUACAGAUCUGGUAAGGCGAGCCCUUUCAAACUUAUUUUACAGUCUGCUACAAAAAUGCACUGCUAUCUGGCGUUACCAUUGCUACAUGCUAGUAUGCGCCUGUACAAAGCCAGAACAAUGUCGUUGUAUUAUUACAUACGAGUCAAAAAUAUAUAAAGACCGAAGAACAAAGAUGCAGUAACAGAUCAUCAUGCAGCCGAGCAAAACCUUUAUCGCAUUGUAAACCAUACGUGUUCAUUACAGAUGUGUGAAUAACAUUUUUUCAAAUAAGUUUUUUUCUAAAGAUUAGUAAUAUCUUCUUUAUAAAUGUAUAUAGACUAAUAAUAUUCUUUCUUUGUUGCGAAUUCAUUUAAUUAAACUUUCAAGGGUUUAGAUAAAACGGGAUUUUUCAGUGUAUGUAAAGUGCGGAUCCUAAAAUAUCAUUUUUACUGUAUAUGCCAUAAAUGUCUAAUGUAGAAUGAUAAAUAAACAGACGAACUUUUUUUAAUUUUUGAAGAAAAUGAAGAAAAAUAGUUAAAAUGUAUAUGUUCAGAAAUACAUAAUACUAAUAAAACAAAGUAAGAGAUGCGAGCGGGAUUUAUCGCGCCUAAAGCCAUCCAACUGUGAAAUAUAUACCAAAAUAGGUGAAUUUUUAGGACAUUUCACGAACAGAUCGUGCAGGUGCUUUAUAACUAACAGGUGAGAUGUUGUUGCAGUAAAAAAUAUUCAUUUUAAUACAAUUAUUAAAGUUGUAUAACGUAGAAUAUGUUUUGUCAUUCAGUUUCUUCAUAUUUAACUAAAUUCCACUAUGAUGAUUUCGUAAUGCUAGUCAUGUUUACUGUCGAAUAAUGAUACUAUUCUUUCAUUUUAACUGUGGAGCGAAUCAUUAGUAUUGUAUAUGCGGUGCAUUUUCACUGUAUAAUUAUUAUUUUUUUUAUCUAUUACAGCUCAUUUCUUUAAGCAUGUAGAGCAAGACUUUAGUUGAUUUGCUUGCUUUUUUUAUUGGAUAAUCAUUAUGAUAACACCCAAUUUAAUUCAAAUAUUAAAAAUACAGGUUAAACUAUGCCUAUUCAUAUUGUUUAAAAAUGUCAAUCUUAUUUACAAAGUUUGUAUAAACAAUUAUACAAACAAAGCAAGCAAGCCAACCAAAGUUUUGCUUUACAUGCAUUAGGAAAUUAGCUGUAAAGUCUUAAUUUAGCCGACUUGCUCAAAUAAUAGAUAAAGUAAGAGAAAGAUUUGAUAAAAUUUAACUUACGGAUAAAAGUUUGGUUUUAAAACACUCUACUAAAUUCAAUAGAAAUAACAUUUAUUUCAAAUGUAUUCCAUUUAGUUUCUUAUAAAGCGUAUAGAGAUCUUUAUCCUUAUUUUUUUUAUCCAUUUCCAUGACACUUCACCACUAAUUACGUACAUCUUGAUAUAGAUUGCACCUUUGUUUUCCCGUUUAAAAGGUUUUACACUGGAGCCCUUUAUAACUUGCUGUUCGGUGUGAGCCAAGACUCCAUGUUGAAGACCGUAUUUUGACGUAUAAUGGUCUACUUUUAUAAAUUGUGACUCGGAUGGAGAGUUGUCUCAUUGUCACAUACGACAUCUAUAUGGCUCAAAAACGAAACGAGACGGGAUAAAAAGGGAUGAAAAAAUCUACGCUACUUUUUUAAUAUAUUUAUAAUGGGCUUUAUAUGAGUCAAAAUAGAGUAAAAUAGUGGGUCGCAUUUGGGUAUAAGCGUCACGCCGGAUUGCCGAUUUUUUGCAAGCGUGACAGCUAGUGAAAGUCAAAUGAUUGUGUAGAGAAAAACGGGAAAUGAAGUCUAGCGGGACACGGAUAAUUACAAAAAAUUAGAACUGCAUAGUAUAAGCGGGAUACGGGAAUCUGACAAAACAAUAAGCGGAAUACGGGAAUCUGCCAAAACAGUAAGCGGGAUCCGGGAUCAGAACCCCCUAAUGAGACCCCAGAAAAAGAUAUUUUUGUAUAUUCAUCCUAUUGUUACAGUCAUGCCUUCAAUAACAAAAGUAUCCGAUGCAUGCAUUUUUUCAUAUUUUUGGUCCCUUUUUCAAUUUUGUGGGGUCCAAAUUUAUAGACAAAAGUCCUUUAAUAUAGAUAUUUGGAAUUCGUUGACAUGCUGAAUCUGACCAUGUAUCAAGUUUGGGGAUUUUUUGCCUAGUUGCUGAAAUAGCCCACAUAGAGUUCCAAAGGGUCUAAAAUCAACAAAAAUGAAUUGUAGCAUGCAUUUCGUGUACAAUAACCCAAAUGUGCAUGGUUUUACCUCUGUGGUAGUAUCCAUUCGCGGAUCUAGAAUUUUUCAUAAGUAGGGGCCCACUGACUGCUUAAAAGGGCCCGCUGCUGUCACGCUCCAGUGAUUCACUAUAUAAGUUAAAAUCAAGGAGAAACGUAAUCUGAAGAAUACAAUAUGACAUUUUGAGAAUCGCUUUUGUUACAAGUUUGAAAAGCUAUAUAUUUGAUGAAGAAUGAAUGAGGAGUUUGUAUUUCAAUUGGAAAAUACAUGUAUCAUAAAUCCUAAAGUCAUCAACUAAGUUUUUUUUCAUUUGUUGCAAGUGCAUUUAUCACAUAAUUCUACAAUAAAAAUUCCUCGCAUCUUUGAAAAUUCUACAUUAAUAAUGACUGCACUAACAGUGAUAAUUCAUCGCAUCUAUAGUUAAAAUGGAUCGCUUUCAAUAAUCGAUAUGCUAUAUUAUGAUGCUUUUAUAACACUUAUUUGAAGUUUAAUGCUAUGUUUGUAUAUUAUAAAGACAUAUCACAAUGAAAAUAUGUUAAAACUUAACUUAAAAUCCUUUAACUUGAUAUUUUCAAAACGUAAACAAAUACAGUUUUCCCAUGAUCCUUUAUUCUACAAUAGACAUACCCGCAUAUAACAGUAAAAAUGAACUAGCUGGAUUCGCACUUUAUAUACACUGUUUUUUGCUGCAAUAUUUACCCAAUUAAAAAAAGAAUCAAAGAUGAAAAUUGAAUUUGGAACAAAUAAUUUUAUAGAAUAUCAAAUAAAAUGUCAUUCCGUGUGCUCGUUUUUCAAGGUAAUUAUUAAUAACUCUCGAAUAAGUGUUUUCUCAGAUGUGUCGCAGUUUAAAGGCGUGAAAAAAAUACAGUUUACGUUAGUAGCCUCUUUUCCAUUCCUGAAACUGUAUCGUUUCCCCUUAAAAGUUUGGUUAAAUUUUGAGAUAAAUGACGACAUUUUUGCCCUUUUUAUAGAAUAUCACUAUAAGAGAUGGGCUGUGUAAUAACUGAACGUAUAAUAAGUCGGCACCUUAAGGGCAUACGACACAGUUAUAGAGAUAACACAUGUUAAAAAUAAUAUAUAUUUAUUGGCGAAGUAAGAUCACGGCUUCUGUCGGUUACCAACCCAUGAACAAAGGGUCUUUGGGUAACCGUAAAUUAAAAUUAUAAAUCAAAUCUUCAAAAUAUAAUAGAUAAUUAAAAUUGAAAUAGAACUAAAAUGUAAUAAAAUUAUGAAUUAAUAGUGUGCUGUAUUGAACCCUGGCAACAGAUGUCCAAAAUCAACAUGAAAAACUACGUUUGAAGUGUAAAUGAAGAAAUGGAUUAAUGUUCUAAAUUAAAUAAUAAUAAAUCAAGUUUAUCGGUACUGAGGCAGCCUAUAAAGUCCGCCACUAAACAAAUUCGAAAUUUUCUGUCAUAACAGAAUGUUUCGAAAAUUGUUACCGCCAACCAGUACUAUGAAGGUGAUUUUUAUUUGAAAAUAAAAAAAAAUAAAAAAAAACCUGUAUGUUAAAGAAUCUGACCGCCGUGACUACAAGCUAACAGAUUCCCGAAGCCAUGGACCUACUUCGCCGUUUUGUGGACAAAUUGUAUGUGAAAAUUUUAUAAUGUCAAAUAAACCUUGCUGUAACCUAUACAAAAACAAAUUAUUUCCGAUAUCUGAUAAAUGAACACCGUCUAAAAAUAAAUCUGGGUUGUCUUCAGAUAUUUCUGGAUAUCUAAUAUAAGCACCGCCAUGUUUGAUGAUAUAUGUAGCUACUAAACUAUUUAAUCUAACUCUAGUUCUGUUCAAAGAUCUAUGUACAAUCUCAUUCCUGUAUUUCAAUCUGGGUAAAAUUUGAGACCAAACAAAUUUUGACUUUGGUAGUAAGACCCGAAGGCAAUCAAUUACUUUUAAAAUAUCGUGUCCUAAUACACAUGACACUUUUUGUCCGAUAUCAUUUCCACCACAGUGAAAUACUAAUACUUGCGGGGGUUCUUCAAGUGUAAGCAAAUGUUUGACUUUGGGUAUUAUCUCACAAAUCCUCAUUCCACUUUUUCCUUGCCACCAUAUUGUAGAUUUUAUUCGUUCCAAACCUAAAUUUACACCAUCGACAGACUUUCUAGCAUGUACAAAUGCAUGUUUGAUGAUUGAAGAACCCACCAACCAAACACUCUUUUGUUGACCUGAAAGUCUUAAAGUGACGAUCAGGCGAGUAUUCAAAUUUCAAAUCAAUUAUGUACAAUAUAUACAAACAAAUAAAUGAUGACACAUAUUAAAUUUGACUUGCUAACUUUAGCGUUGGUAUUCUGAUAUAUCUUUUAUAAGCUUUUGAUUCCCAACGACCAAAAUCCUGAAUUUCAUCAUCAGAAAACCCCAUUUUCGAAGACUGAGAUGCAGCUCCGAUCCUAAAACUAUGACUUUGAAAAUUAUCCGAUGUAAUAUUCGCCACAUUCAGAGCUUUCUUUAGAACAGCGUUAAACUGAUAACGUGUAACAUAGUUUCCACCGAAGUGUAUGAAUGCAGGACCAAUGGUUUUGGGCCUGGCAAUAAAAUAUUUCUUUAAUAAAUGAACAGGACAUACAUGAGAAUUAAUUGAAGGUAUAAUUAUUAAACUACCUUUGCCUAACUGAUCAGUUUUUGAAAAUUUAAGGUUGAUAGAAACGUUAUUGUCUGAAAAACUAAAAUCAUCUAACGACAAAGUGUGAGAAUGUGCCAGUGAUUUAUUGACUACUAAUUCCCCUAUCCUGAAAAAAACCAAAAUACGCCAAACUAAACAACCCCGAAAACAAUAAGGUCUCAUAUUGUGAGAGACAUACAGAUGGUAAUAGUGAAAUCAAUUUAUCUAAAAUCUGUGGUGUAAUUGGCAAUCUUGAAUCCACUCGUUUGUCAAGCCUUUCCAUUCAAUUAACAUUUUCUUAAUUAUAAAAUUGUGAGUGUUAUCAGUAAUAUUUAACAUUUUACAUUUAAAGGCUAUACCAAAAAUAUAAGACUUGACAGUAGACGGAGCAUAACCUCGCACAGAUAAAUAUGCUAUAAAGUUACAGAUAACAUUAAGUGAGGGUGGCCAAACAAUGGCAUGUCCGUGUGAAGAUCUAAAUUGAUCAAAUGACCUGACAGCAGUUUCAUAAGUGUCACUUGUGUUUGGUGAGAUUGACGCCGUUAACAACUUGUUGGAUUCAAAUUUGAGAUCACUUGAAGAAAAGGAUGUGGGACCUUUUCUGGUCUUUGUAGCGCCUCUGGUGACAUGCGACGAAACCGUGGCCACUGUUGACGAGAAAUUGCAUCCGCAAUACAGUUUUUGUUUGAUGUAAUAUGCAUUGCUUUGAACUGAAUAUUAUAAACCAUAGCUUUUAAGACUAAAGGACGAAGAAUAUGCAUUACCCUUCUUGAUCUAGACGUUUUAGAAUUCAAGAUAUGAACAAGUGCUUUAUUGUCAACGUGUAAGAUAAUUUUCUUAUUCGCAAAGAUCGCAUACCACAAAUGAAAGGCUAAAACAAUAGGCAAUAACUCUAAAAAUGUAAUGUCCUUUAAUAUAUCGCAACCUAACCAAUAUGACGGCCAAGGAAAGAAAGCCCAAUUAGGAUGUAAAUACGAAGCACAUCCACCAAACGCACUCCCAGCACUAUCAGUAAAUAACUCCAUAUCAACAUUUGAUAUCCAAUCGGAAUCGGGAAAAUAAAAUUUGCCAUUAAAACAAUCUAAAAAUAACGACCACAAGCCUUAUGUCUUCCUUAAUUGACGCAGUGAGCCUUAUAUGGUGCCGAGGAUUUGAUAUUCCUGACAUUGCAUCAUAAAAACGUCUGUUGAAUGCCCUACCCGUAGGGAUCACUCUCGAACAAAAAUUCAAAAUGCCUGUAAAAGACUGGAGAACACGUAAUGUUUUUAUUGUUUUCAAUUUCAGCAAUUUCUCUUUGGGAAUUUUUACAGACAUUUCAAUUGUAUUAAUUUCAAGCCCCAAAAAAGUAAGAACAUGAGUUGGACCGACGGUCUUGUCAUGUGCCAAAGGAACUCCUAAACGAUCACAUAAACAAUCAAAUUCACUCAUCAGGUUAAGGCAAGUUGAAUCAGUCCCCGGGCCUGCAAACAAAAAAUCAUCUAAGUAGUGUAUAACACUUUCCGAUCCCGUUUUGUCCUUAAAGAUACAUUCUAGAAAUGUUGAGAAUUUCUCAAACGUUGCGCAAGACAGACUACAACCUUGAGGCAAACAGCGGUCCACGAAGUAAAAGUCCAAAAAUUUGAAACCCAAUAACUCGAAAUCAUCCGGGUUUACUGGUAAAAGCCUAAAUGCCGAGCUGAUAUCUUUUUUUUUCCAAUUAGGGCGAACUUUCCUUGGCUACCCACCAUAUCUAGUGCAUGGUCAAACGGCGUAUAAGUCACAGAACACAAGCCCUUAUCAAUAUAAUCAUUUACGCUUAAACCGUGUGGGUAUGAUAAAUGCUGUAUAAGCCUCCAAGAACCAUCCUUUUUAGGACAUAAGCCAAUCGGAGACCAUCUUAGAUUAAAAAGUGGUAUAUUGUUAAAUGGACCAGCUAUUCUUCCCAAAUUAAUUUCUUUCAAUAAUUUUUUUGCAACUUCAACUUCAUUGCCAAAAACAGAAACUAGAUUUCUACAAUCAGUAGUCAUCCUAGGUCCAGUAUAAUUUAGACGAAAACCUUCCAAAAAUCCCAAAUAUAAUUCUGAAGCAACUGUUUUAUUACUAUAAUUUUCCAGAAACUUGCAAAGAACAUCAAAUUUAAUUGGCGUAUUAGCGAUUGAAUGAACCGUGGAAAGGUGGUCGCUGGAAUCUGACAGCUGCCCUUGGAUUAGCACUCGAGCCUCGUUGCGAACUGUUAUUUGGUUGUCCAGCAGCGAAUCUAGGACCACGCCUAAAAUUAAAAUUUGUCUGAGCACCAUGAAAUCGUGUACAGUUUACCGAUGGGUGAAUACCUGAACAACGUAAACAACUAUGUGAAUAAUGACAGUUAGGCCUAGUACAGGAUCCAUUGUUAUAAUCAAACAUUUAUACGCAUUAGUUACAGGGUUUGGAUUAAAUUGUGUGUUAUCAUCAUACAUGUUUAAUUGAGAACACCAUCUUAAAGUAUUAGAAUUAUCAUCAAUAGGUACUGGGUUCGACAAUAAACAACCCAGAUCAAUAUAUUCACCAUUUAAGAUUUUUUGUCUGAUAUUGCAAGAAACAUUAUUACCCAAAUCAUUGCUGAUGCUAGCAAUUUCAUGUACAGAAUUAACAUUAGAUUCAAAAUUUUGAAAUGUACCUUGUUCAUUGAUGGUUUGUGAAUACGACUCUUCAUUAUUCGGUAAAUCCACUGAACUGUUAAACGUGGUAGAUGGUCCUGAUGCAUUAGAUGUUGUAAUUUGCGUCCGUGGCGGCACUACAUCAUGUUCUGUUUGAGACAGUGCAGCUGUCCUGUCAUUAUCAGUAACACGGGCUGUUCUCCUUCUUUUAACUCCUUUUCCCCUCGCGACAGUUUUUCCCCUAGGCAUCACUAACCUUCCAAUAAAUAAACACAGUGUAAAAUAAAAAAUAGUUACCAAUCCUAAAAUAUAUGUUUAACUAAAUAUAAAAGUAAACAUGAAAUAAACAACGCGAUAUCUGUGACGGAAAAAAAAAUUGCUGAUAAAUCAAUUAAUCAAAUGUCAAUUUAAAGCAUUUACCAAAUAUUUCUUAACGGAAGCCUAGUUAAGUAUAAUUCUCUUAAAUAAUUUGCAACAUCAAAUAGCAAUUAGGUGUACCAUGUAUAAUUGUAUUGUCUAGCCAUAUUAGAUGACUCCCGGCGUGCAUCGAAUAUUAAAUAUAAAUUACAUACCUCAUAGGAAGUUGCCAAAAUAAUCUGCAUAACAAAAUGCAAUUAGCAUGGAUAGCAUCAACAUUAGAUGCCUCAAUAAAAGACAAAGCAAUAAUGUGAAUGAAACUAAAAUUAAAAUAAAUUCAACAUCAUAAUUCGUUAUAUAGACAUAUAAUAAACAUAAACAAAUAAAAUCGAUUGAAUGUAUUAAAAUUAAUAUCAAGUAAUCAUGUGUAUAAUAAAUUAAAUCAAUAGUCUGACCUUAGAUCAAUAUAAAUCCUUGAAGAUAGCGUUUGCAAUAUUUGUGAUGAGAAUGCAAGAGCAGUUAAUUUAUAUGUAGUGUAAUAAAUUUAGACAUGCGCGUCUGCUUUGACCUGCUAAUGAACUAUUGCUGGUCUUCCUCUGAUAACGCGAUUUAAUGGUUGAGCCCUUUAAAUCGAAUUACAUGGGAGGUAGAGGGGGGGAAAGAUUCAGUUUUCGACUGAUUUUUAUCAUUUAAACUGAUUUAACUUGAAAACGAGUUCAUGGACCCCACUUUUUUAAAAUGCCAUUUGGUUUGUUGACGUAAGAAGAUUAUGUGUGCCAAUUUUCAAGAAACCGUAAAUAGUGCAUUUUUUUUUUAAUUUGAUAAAUAUAUAGCAAAAAAUGAUGUGUUUUUCUGCAUUAAUGAAUAUUUGCUCUUCAACUUCGUACUUUAUUUUGGCCUUUUUUACUUUUUGGAAUUCGAGCGUCACUGAUGAGUCUUUUGUAGACGAAACGGGCGUCUGGCGUAUAUACUAAAUUUAGUCCUGGUAUAUAUGAUGAGUUUAUUUACAACCACUGGGUCGAUGCCACUGCUGGUGGAGAUUUAUUUCCCGAGGGUAUCACAAGCCCAGUAGUCAGCACAUUUGUGUUGACAUGAAUUGUCAUUGAUAUGGUUAUAUUUAUAAAUUUACUAUUACAAAUUUUUGAAUUUUUUGAAAUACUAAGCCUUUUCCACCUUAGGCAUAUAUUACCUUAACUGUAUUUGGCAAAACUUUUAGGAAUUUUGGUCCUCAAUUCUCUUCAACUUCGAACUUUAUUUGGCCUUUUUUACUUUUUGGGAUUCGAGCGUCACUGAUGAGUCUUUUGUAGACGAAACGGGCGUCUGUCGUAUAUACUAAAUUUAGUCCUGGUAUCUAUGAUGAGUUUAUUUACAACCACUGGGUCGAUGCCACUGCUGGUGGAGAUUUAUUUCCCCGAGGGUAUCACAAGCCCAGUAGUCAGCACUUUUUGUGCUGACAUGAAUUGUCAAUGAUAUGGUUAUAUUUAUAAAUUUAAUAUUACAAAUUUUUGAAUUUUUUGAAAUACAAAGGCUUUUCUACCUCAGGCAUAGAUUACCUUAGCUGUAUUUGGCAAAACUUUUAGGAAUUUGGUCCUCAAUGCUCUUCAACUUCGUACUUUAUUUGGCCUUUUUAACUUUUUGGGAUUCGAGCGUCACUGGUGAGUCUUUUGUAGACGAAACGCGCGUCUGGCGUAUAUACUAAGUUUAGUCCUGGUAUCUAUGAUGAGUUUAUUUACAACCACUGGGUCGAUGCCACUGCUGGUGGAGAUUUAUUUCCCCGAGGGUAUCACAAGCCCAGUAGUCAGCACUUUUUUGUGCUGACAUGAAUUGUCAUUGAUAUGGUUAUAUUUAUAAAUUUAAUAUUACAAAUUUUUGAAUUUUUUGAAAUACAAAGGCUUUUCUACCUCAGGCACAGAUUACCUUAGCUGCAUUUGGCAAAACUUUUAGGAAUUUUGGUCCUCAAUGCUCUUCAACUUCGUACUUUAUUUGGCCUUUUUAACUUUUUGGGAUUCGAGCGUCACUGAUGAGUCUUUUGUAGACGAAACGCGCGUCUGGCGUAUAUACUAAAUUUAAUCCUGGUAUCUACAAAUGUAUGAUGUGUUUAUUUGAUAAAUACAAAUUAUUUCUAAAUAAGAAAUGUAUAAAUUUUUAGGAUACUUUUAAAAUACUGAAAUUACAAAUUAUUUAACAAAAAAACAAUUUGUGUUUAUCUUUUAAAUAAAAAAAAUUUAUGUCUUUCUUUCGAUAGGGAAAAUACGGCCUCAAAACCGAAUUUUGAGCAAUAUACAAAAUUUCGACCUCAUUUUACGCAAAAAGUAGCACAUGAAGGUAUAUUUUUUAUUGCAUAUUUGAUUUAAUCAGGUAAAAAAUAGUCUAUAUGGAAAUUUUUAGCAAAAUGUAAAUACGGGAUCAAAACUGUAUCGUAUGCCAAUAAUCUAAAUUUAUGCAUUAUGUACUUAUACCGAUGUAAUUUGACAUUUGUAAUGGUCAAUGGUAUUUUCCGAUUUAUAUUUUUAGGAUCAUAUGAAAACCAGAAAAAGAUUGGAUACAAACACAUGUACUUUAAUGCUACUAAACAAACUUUUAUGAUGUGGACAAUAACAAUGGCUGCUGUUUUGGCAUUUUAUGAGUUAGUCAAACACUUAUUGCGGUUAUACCUGGAAAGAAAUUUGAGAUAUUCAAUGCUUUUUCUAUUAAUACUGAGUAUUUAUCCACAGUACUUUUCUUGGUGGGUAUAUCUCAACUAUCUUAAUGAUGAUUUCUACAAACAGUUCAUCCAUCAAAUGUUUUUUACUGUGACAGAGAUGAUAACCUUGAUGAUAAUUGUUCGCAUGUGCUCAUAUGCAAAUGGUAUUACGACAAACCACUUGAUUGGAGUAUUAUCUAUAAACUUGGUGCACAUUGCUGUAGGGGGUUUAGACCAGUUCUUUGACCAUUUGGUGUUAAUGGAUGGAAAACCAUUUAAAAGAAUGCGAAGUCUUGCACUGGUUAUACCAGACGUCGUGUGUAUUGUAAUAUUUAUAAUAGAAUACAAAAGAUCACGUGGUCGAUUAUUAAGUAGGAAAGAAUCCUUCUAUGUAUUAUGGUUAACAUUUUUGUUGUUUUUACUUUUCAAAUUUGGAUUGAUAUACUGAUCAUAUAAUGGAAUGUUG
rnacentral:lncRNA from 1 species